AAAAGUUGAUAGGUUCUGGUCUGCAUGAAAGUUUUUCAAAUUCUUGCAUGGAAGCGGAGAAUGGACACCUGGGCAGACAGUAGCAAGAUAGAGAGACUGCCUUUUCCAGGUUGCUUUUGGUCAUGGAGUUUUAACACAACAAGAGACACC